UACGUAGGGUGCGAGCGUUAAUCGGAAUUACUGGGCGUAAAGCGUGCGCAGGCGGUUCGUUAUGUCCGUUGUGAAAGCCCCGGGCUCAACCUGGGAAUGGCAUUGGAAACUGGCGGACUCGAGUGUGGCAGAGGGGGGUGGAAUUCCGCGUGUAGCAGUGAAAUGCGUAGAGAUGCGGAGGAACACCGAUGGCGAAGGCAGCCCCCUGGGCUAACACUGACGCUCAGGCACGAAAGCGUGGGGAGCAAACAGG
rnacentral:rRNA from 1 species